rnacentral:lncRNA from 1 species
CCCCCAUCAAUGAUGCAAUGUUGAGGGGCAGCACACUCUUGCAGGCCCCUGUCCAACACCUCACAGGGAGUUGUCAUAUACCUGGGAUUGAGGCUUUUCUUUAAUCUAAUCUAUAAGUUUCUGGGAACACUGUCUGUUCAAGAGUAAAGUGAUUUGUUUACGGAAGAAAAAAACCCGAGUCAGAUCUGUUCAUCAGAAAAGACAAAAACGAAGAAUUUUUUCUGUAUUAAGUUUCUUGUAUUUUACUAGAGCUUACCUGAUAGACUAAGGGUGAUGAAUACAUCAGUCACUGAAAGGAGGUGGAGCGGCUGCCCUUCCUCUUGCAGCCUUCUGCUUCUAACCCAUCCUCCCGCUCCUGAAGCACAUCCUCCCUGCUUUUUCUAUACCUUCAGAUAGAUGGUUCAAGGGAAAAGGCAACUGGAGUUCGUUCGAGCAAUAACUUUAACUUUAUGUACAACUCAAACUCAUAGAAGUCUGGAUGAAGAUUUCGCAAGGCUUUCCCCGUCGAAUGAAGAGCACAAGUUUACCUUUAACAACCAUCCGAAACUCUUGGGGAGAAGUUAACAGCCAAACAGAAACACCUCAUGCGUGUCUCCUUCUCCCCAUGCUAUGAGGCGCCAUGCUAUGAGGAGCUCUCCGGAGAACUCUGCACCCUGCCAGAAAGCACUCCAUUAUGCUGUGAUUUUAGGGGGAGUUCUGGACAAAUGGACCUGCGUGACCUUGACCUAACUAAAAGAGAACAAAGAAAUAGACUGUACUGGAGCCCUGGCUGAGGAUGCUGGGGGACUUUUCUCCUUUGCUGAGAUUCUCCCUGGAGUAUCAUCAACAUUUGUCCAGACGCUGCUGGAGUCUGCGCCUGGAUACCAAGGCUCUUUUCCUUGCCAUUCCUUCCAAGCGGCUGAGCCAUGAUUUCUUCCCUGUCUCUCCAGUGGGCAGCACAUCUCUUUACAGUAGAUUGCUAUUCAGUUCACAGAUAUCAUAUCAUGCUCCUACAUGAAAUAAAUCCAGCAAUCAGACUGUGGCUAAUACUGAAAAAGUCUAUCUACAGAUGCUUGCUUCAGAACCAAUCAAACAUUGUUAUGUACUUUCUGAGACAAAAAUCUUUGUGAGACAAAUGAAUUUCAUGCAUAGGCCAAUGGCCCAUUUCUUUGGAACAAUACUCUAAGCACAGGAAAAUUCUAGUUAAACAA